UCAAAAAAGAGAAUUAUUAAGGCAAAGAAAAUCAUCAUAAACAUUUUGGGCCGAAGUCUGAUAAACUGCUGUGUUUGUAUCCCGAUUGGCUGUAGGAUGUAGUAGUUAUUAGUGAUGGUCUUCGUACGCUGGCACGCUGUAGUGGGAGCACAGAUGACGUGUUUCCUUUGACAGGAGCCUCUGUGUCCCCUGCGCUGUUUUUGCUGAUGUUACUUCCAGCUGUAGCCCCAGCAUGGCGGCACGCGCUGCACGUCCCCGAAGCAUUUCAGCCCCAUCCUCUCCAUCGUGUUUUCGUCACACUGGUCCAGGUCUACUGGGAUCUGCUUCAGCUUCAGAGAUACAGACGUGCAGAACUGGCCAAAGCUUUGCAAGUCAUCACAGGAUGGGAUUAUAAAUUGAGAUUAUAGGGAUUAUAGGUUGAGAUUUGGAAGUGGGAGCUCUGGAUGGAUGAUAUGCUUCUGCUCUAAACCUGUGCUGCAUUUCUGCCAAUGGGAAAACCUGUAAGAUAGCCGGGACGUGGCCAAUGGGAAGUCCACAUUCAUAAGAUAACUUGGACCUGACCAAUGCGCAUCUUACAUACCCAAGGCAGAUAGGUUAUAUCCAAUAAACACAAUACAUUCAAAAUGUAAAACUGUGAAAAAUUCUUCAUGCAGACCUCAAUGAGCUGGUCUGUACAGUGUGUUUAUUUACUUUAUAAUCAUGUGUCAUUUUUCCUUUUUUUGGGAAUGGGGCAUAAAUAAGCAUUAUGCAACAUGACAGGUAUGUAUACCGUCAGAGCCUGGCCUACCGAGCACAUUAGUACUUAUUAGGUAAGGGUUUGGCCUGUAGCAGGUAUAAACUCGUUUUUUUAUGCCAUGCCUCUAUGAAGAUGGUUGCACUUGUGAUCACCGUCAUCCGCUUUGGGUCCCAUGAUCCAGAUCACAGCUGUUCACUUUCGGAUUGGCUGGGCUGCCACCAUCCAUUACAAACACUUUUUUGACCUUGCCCGACCUUGACCACGAAGGAAUCACCUUUACAGUCGCUCGUCUGAUGGGGGAUGCCGAUUACCGUUAUCACUGUCCGCCAGGAGAGUGAACGCUUCAUCAGAGACCUAGCAUUAUCAGCCAAUCCAGUACCUGUGCGUCUUUCUCAGUUGUCUGUAUACUGUUCGGCCUGAAAGAUGCACCUGUUUAAAGCUGUCUCUAUUAUUGUCAUUACUACUAUUAUCAUGAUGAUCAUCAUUUAAAUUAUAUUAUCAUUGUUAUUAUUGUUGUUUUUUCAUUGCAUUUCACUAUACUGAAUUUUUUUUACUAAAAAAAUCAUUGAGUGCUGAGGUUAAGAAACAGGCAGUAAACCCUAAGCCUACCCAGCAUUUUAUAUUGGAGAAGUAGAGAUUAUGAUUAUUAUUAAGGUGUAAUAACAUUCCAGAAGGACAUUUCUUUCUGUUCAUUAGUGCAGUCCUGGCAGCUGUACAAGGCGGCACAUGAAAGGAUUAUACAUACCUCCAGAUAACCACGCACACAGUUGGUUCAAUAAAAAGGUCUUACAGGGAACCACACAGAAAUCCAGAACAAACAAGCGCUCACAGCCACAACAGUAUUUACGGCCAAUUCUGCAGGAUGAGGGACACUCAGCUGUAAAUCCGGCCCCUUAACUAUAGGACCGUGACCGCAUGUGCCUCUCCGGGUGACCACGUGGUGAUCACGAUGCAGGGCAUGUAGGUGAACUCCAAAGGAUUUGGGGAGAGAAAGGCUGAAGACCUAGAGAAUGUUCCUGAUGUUCCUGCUUUGGGUACAAAUGGUGCCAGACACACACCCCGAAACUUACAAAGGCAGGGUGGCAUGUCUGCUCGAGAUGGCACCUGUCAUGGAGAACUGUAAGCCAACAUGACUUCACAGGGCGCUUCCACACUCCUUUCUGCCGUGUUGGUUUUGUUGCUAUAACAGUUUACACAAAACUUACAUCGUGACUGCACUCCAUCUCAUCUCAUCUUAUUCAUUACAUUUUUCAGUUCGUAAAUGAUUUGCUUGUUUGUCGAUGCAAACCACCAUCUUUGUCUCUUGCUAAGUGACCUGUGGGUCAGAUUCCUUUAGUAAUGUUGGUUGAUUUCCUGCAGAUUUUUUUUUUUUUUUAUA